rnacentral:rRNA from 1 species
UACGGAGGAGGCAAGCGUUAUCCGGAAUUAUUGGGCGUAAAGCGUCCGUAGGUGGCUCUUCAAGUCUGCUGUCAAAGCGUGGGGCUUAACCCUGCAAAGGCAGUGGAAACUGAAAGGCUAGAGAGCCGUAGGGGUAGAGGGAAUUCCCGGUGUAGCGGUGAAAUGCUUAGAGAUCGUCCAGAACACCGAUAGCGAAGGCAGCUUACUAAGGAGUAACUGACGCUGAGGCACGAAAGUGUGGGGAUCAAACAGG